ACUCCUACGGGAGGCAGCAGUGGGGAAUCUUGGACAAUGGGGCAACCCGUGAUCCAGCCAUGCCGCGUGAGUGAUGAAGGCCCUAGGGUCGUAAAGCUCUUUCGCCUGUGAAGAUAAUGACUGUAGCAGGUAAAGAAACCCGCGUACAUCCGUGCCAGCAGCCGCGGUAAUACGGAGGGGGUUAGCGUUGUUCGGAAUUACUGGGCGUAAAGCGCGCGUA
rnacentral:rRNA from 1 species